GGCGAAUAAGCCCCGGCUAACUACGUGCCAGCAGCCGCGGUAAGACGUAGGGGGCGAGCGUUGUCCGGAUUUACUGGGCGUAAAGAGCGCGUAGGCGGCCUGUUAAGUCAGGAGUGAAAUCUCCAGGGCUCAACCCGGAAACUGCUCUUGAUACUAACAGGCUGGAGUGGCGAAGAGGUGAUUGGAAUUCCCGGUGUAGCGGUGACAUGCAUUGAUAUCGGGAGGAACACCAACGGCGAAGGCAGGUCACUAGUCGCCAACUGACGCUGAGGCGCGAAAGCGUGGGUAGCAAACAGAAUUAGAUACUCUGGUAGUCCACGCCCUAAACGAUGGAUACUAGUCGUCGGGGGUAUCGACCCCCUCGGUGACGUCGCAAACGCACUAAGUAUCCCGCCUGGGGAGUACGGCCGCAAGGUUGAAACUCAAAUGAAUUGACGGGACCCCGCACAAGCGGUGGAGCAUGUGGAUUAAUUCGAUACUAACCGAAGAACCUUACCCAGACUUGACAUCGAUGGUAAGCCGUAGAAAUGCGGCCCCCUACCCACAAGGUAGGCCGGAAGACACCUGUUGCAUGGCUGUCGUCAGCUCGUGCCGUGAGGUGUUUGGUUAAGUCCAGCAACGAGCGCAACCCUCAUUUCGUGUUACCAGCGGAUAAAGCCGGGGACUCACGAAAAACUGCUCCGGUAACGGAGAGGAAGGUGAGGAUGACGUCAAGUCGGCAUGGCGGUUACGUCUGGGGCUUCACACAUGCUACAAUGGGCGCAACAAAGGGCAGCAAUACCGCGAGGUGGAGCUAAUCCCAAAAAUACGCCCUCAGUUCAGAUUGCAGUCUGCAAUUCGACUGCAUGAAGGCGGAAUCGCUAGUAACCGCAGGUCAGCUAUACUGCGGUGAAUACGUUCCCGGGGUUUGUACACACUGCCCGUCAAGUCACCUGAAUUGUCUGCACCCGAAGUCCGUGGCUCAACCGUAAGGAGAGAGCGGCCGAAGGUGUGGGGGGUAAGGGGGACUAAGUCGUAACAAGGUAGCCGUACCGGAAGGUGUGGCUGGAUCACCUCCUUUAUAGGGAGCA
rnacentral:rRNA from 1 species